AAACCAACAGGGAUUGCCUUAGUAACGGCGAGUGAAGCGGCAAAAGCUCAAAUUUGAAAGCUAGCACCUUCGGUGUUCGCGUUGUAAUUUGAAGAUAGUUUCCUUGAGUAGUCCUUUAUCUAUGUUCCUUGGAACAGGACGUCAUAGAGGGUGAGAACCCCGUAUGAUUUUGGAUACUACUCUUUGUGGGAUUCUAUCGAAGAGUCGAGUUGUUUGGGAAUGCAGCUCUAAGUGGGUGGUAAAUUCCAUCUAAAGCUAAAUAUUGGCGAGAGGCCGAUAGCGAACAAGUACAGUGAUGGAAAGAUGAAAAGAACUCUGAAGAGAGAGUGAAAAAGUACGUGAAAUUGCUGAAAGGGAAGGGCUUGAGGUCAGACUUGGUGUUUAAUGAUUAUCAGUUCUUCUUGGACUGUGCACUCGUUUUUCACCGGGCCAAUAUCAGUUUUAGCGGUAGAGUACCCCUUGAAAUGUGGCUUCCUUCGGGGAGUGUUAUAGUCUUGGGGAGAUCUACUUGCUGGGAUUGAGGACUGCGCUUCGGCAAGGAUAUUGGCGAAUGACCUUAAGCCGC
rnacentral:rRNA from 1 species